AUGUCUUAAGCCUACUCUUAAAUGUGGAGAGGGUGUCUGCCUCCCGAACCACAACUGGAAGCUGGUUCCACAGGAGAGGAGCUUGGUAACUGAAGGCUCUGGCUCCUGUUCUACUUUUAGAGACUAUAGGAACCACAAGUAGCCCAGCAUUCAGAGAACAUAGUGUUCUAGUGGGGUAAUAGGGUACUAUGAGCUCUUUAAGAUAUGAAGGGGCCUGACCAUGAAGAGCUUUAUAGGUGAGGAGGAGGAUUUUAAAUUCAAUUUUACAUUUUACAGGGAGCCAGUGCAGAGAAGCUAGUACAGGAGAGAUGUGAUCUCUUUUUCUAGUUCCUGUCAGUACUCGUGCUGCAGCGUUCUGAAUUAAUUGGAGCGUUUUAAUGGACUUAUUGGGGCAACCUGAUAAUAAAGAGUUGCAGUAAUCCAGCCUUGAAGUAACAAAUGCAUGGAUUAGUUUUUCUGCAUCUGUC